UACAGAGGGGGCAAGCGUUGUCCGGAAUCAUUGGGCGUAAAGGGCGCGUAGGUGGCCCGGUCAGUCUUUGGUGAAAGCGCGGGGCUCAACCCUGCGUCGGCCAGGGAUACUGCCGCGGCUCGAGCACUGUAGAGGCAGGCGGAAUUCCGGGUGUAGCGGUGGAAUGCGUAGAGAUCCGGAAGAACACCGGUGGCGAAGGCGGCCUGCUGGGCAGUUUAGCUGACACUGAGGCGCGACAGCGUGGGGAGCAAACAGG
rnacentral:rRNA from 1 species